GCGGUACCGGUUCACGUCUCGCAGCAGGCGACCCGGCGACC
rnacentral:ncRNA from 1 species